UAUGGCUCCCCCCCCAGCCACUCGCGGCUCCGCCGGGAGGGCGAAGUGAGGGCGCCGAGAGGCUCCAGACAGAUGAGUAGAGAGCUGACUACAGAAGAGGGACAGAUUCCAGUUUGCCAGCUGAUCACUGUGUACAGAAUGGCAGAGCUUCACCCUCCCAGCAGCGAUGAGAGAGACUGACAGUGCUGUGAGUCCCUUCUGGCUCCUCCUGCACAAGGGCUGCUGCCUCUGCAUAUUCAUUGCAUGGUAAUGCAGGAUGUCGGCGGCAGCCGUGGAGUUUGGCUCGGUCCCACUGUGUUUUUCUUCCGCCGGUUUCGACUCUGAGUCACCAUGACAACGCUGUGACACUUCCAGCAAAGGUUGCCCGUGGACCAGGGGUGGGCUGGGGGGUGGGUGAGAAGGUCAAUGAUCGAGUCUAACG